UACGUAGGGUGCAAGCGUUAAUCGGAAUUACUGGGCGUAAAGCGUGCGCAGGCGGUGAUGUAAGACAGUUGUGAAAUCCCCGGGCUCAACCUGGGAAUUGCGAUGGAGACUGCAAGGCUAGAAUCUGGCAGAGGGGGGUAGAAUUCCACGUGUAGCAGUGAAAUGCGUAGAGAUGUGGAGGAACACCGAUGGCGAAGGCAGCCCCCUGGGUCAAGAUUGACGCUCAUGCACGAAAGCGUGGGGAGCAACAGG
rnacentral:rRNA from 1 species